GAUCCAAAGCCUGUUUAAGUCA
rnacentral:miRNA from 7 species